rnacentral:rRNA from 1 species
CACGUAGUUAGCCGGGGCUUCUUGGUCAGGUACCGUCAUCUUCUUCCCUGCCGAUAGGGCUUUACGCGCCGAAACGCUCCUUCACCCACGCGGCGUCGCUGCAUCAGGGCUCCCCCCAUUGUGCAAUAUCCCCCACUGCUGCCUCCCGUAGGAGUCUGGGCCGUGUCUCAGUCCCAGUGUGGCCGUCCACCCUCUCAGGCCGGCUACUGAUCGUCGCCUUGGUAGGCCGUUACCCUGCCAACCAGCUAAUCAGACGCGGGCCCAUCCUGUACCACCGGGGUUUUCCGCGCCAUGCCAUGCGGCACGCCGCGCUUAUGCGGUAUUAGCACCUGUUUCCAGGUGUUAUCCCCCAGUACAGGGCAGGUUGCCCACGCGUUACUCACCCGUCCGCCACUCGCGCGGCGCCGCAGGGGCCGAGGCCCCUGCCGCACGCCGCGCCCGUUCGACUUGCAUGUGUUAGGCACGCCGCCAGCGUUCAUCCUGAGCCAGGAUCAAACUCU